rnacentral:rRNA from 1 species
CAGCGUCAGUACAGAUCCAGGAAAGCCGCCUUCGCCACUGGUAUUCUCUCACUAAUAUCUACGCAUUCUCACCGCUACACUAUGAAUUCUACCUCCCUCUAUCGUACUCUAGUGAAUUAGUUUUGGAUGCAGUUCCUAGGUUGAGCCCAGGGCUUUCACAUCCAACUUAUCAAACCACCUACGCGCGCUUUACGCCCAGUAAUUCCGAUUAACGCUUGCACCUUCCGU